CGGAGCGGUCAUGGGAUGCACUGUACAGCUGGUAUGUGCCCUUCCGGAAGGACAGGCCCGACACAGCAUCGCGAUGACCAGUGAAUGUAUAAAGGCGCUUGCAGGUGGCUGCCUCCCAGAUCAGAAUCAGCUUGUUCCUGUCUCCUGUAGCCAGGUACUUGCCGUCCGAUGAGAUGGCAAUGCAGAGAACGUGGGCUGUGUGCCCCAUGGGCUGCCCCUCUGUGCUUUUCUUGCCCCCAGGCACCACGCAGAGUUUCUUCCCACUCUCCACCUCCCAUUUUAUGACGGAGCCAUCCUUAGCAGCUGAAAAGAUAAACUUGUCAUCCGGAGAGACGACGAGGCAGGUGACAGAAUGCUGGUGCCCCCGCAGCACUCGGAUGGCGUCCGGGGCCGGAGGGCACACGUCCUGGGCCGCCGGGCGUCGCAGUCGGCCCUGCUGCUCGAGCACGGCCUCCUUCAGGCGCUCGCCGACGAGGUCCCCGGGGAAGGCCGCGGCCUCCUCCUCCUCCUCCGCCGCCCGCUCUUCCUCGUGCCGCCGCAGCUCCUCCAGGUACAGCUUAGCCAGGCGCAGCUUCUUCUCCUGCGGCGUCUCCGCCACCUCCUCCUCGGACGCCGCCUCCUCCCGCCGCCGCCCCGCCGCCGCGCUCUCCGUCUCCUCUUCGCUGGACACCUCCUCGUCGCGGGUCCUCCGGUGCGGCGCCGGCCCGGGCUUUCCUUCGGCGCUUGGGCCCGCCACCCGCGGCUGCCGGCGCCGCCGCACCGCUCUCGCCCGCCGCCCCGCCGCCGCCAUGCUGCCGCCGCACGUGGCGCCCCGGCCCCGCCCCGCCCCUGGGGUGCCACCUCCUCCGGGCGGGGUGUGUGUGCCGCCGGCUCGGCGUGGCUGCGAGUUCCGCCGCUGCUCCGCUCUGCUCCUCGGCCCUCUGCAGAGCAAGGGCGCUGGGCUGGCACGGGGGGGCGCCGUACCUGUCAGUGUGUUGGUGCCCCGUGUUUUUUCCUUAUGAUCUGAAGAAGUAAACACACCGUAUAUUUUAGUAUUCAUAGAAAUAUAGCUAUUGAAUUGUUGUACUGUGUGAUGAGUUUUUGCUUGCAAAACUGUAAUAGCUUUGAAAUGUUCCGAACAGUUAUGGAUAGCAUUGAGGACUAGGAAAGCGUGUUGUAAGGCUAUUCUGUUUAAACAAGAGAGCUUCAGCAAAAGAAGCACAAUACAGAAAUGAUGCAAGUAGGCUUAUCAAACAUGAAAAGAAGCCAGGGCCUCCACACAAGGCCGAAUUGUCUCACUACGGGAGUAGGUUGGGACACAAACA
rnacentral:lncRNA from 1 species